rnacentral:rRNA from 1 species
GACAGAGGGUGCGAACGUUGUUCGGAAUUACUGGGCGUAAAGCGCGUGUAGGCGGCAGCGUGUGUCGGGCGUGAAAUCCCACGGCUCAACCGUGGAAGUGCACUCGAAACUGCGCAGCUAGAGUCCUGGAGAGGAAGGUGGAAUGCUUGGUGUAGAGGUGAAAUUCGUAGAUAUUCGCAAGAGCACCAGUGGCGAAGGCGGCUCACUGGCCCGGUACUGACGCUGAGGUGCGAAAGCGUGGGGAGCAAACAGG